AGGAAGAGAGAACAGUAAGAUCCUGCUUCAUAGAUGAAAGAGUCCUCCAGGCUCUGUGAGACAGCAAUUGAAGAAGGAAAUUACAGAAUGUUUAUCACACU